rnacentral:rRNA from 1 species
AGAGUUUGAUCCUGGCUCAGGAUGAACGCUGGCGGCGUGCCUAAUACAUGCAAGUCGAGCGUGCCUCUUUUUAAGAGGCCAGCGGCGAACGGGUGAGUAACACGUAGGUCAUCUACCCAAGAGACGGGGAUAACGUUUGGAAACGAACGCUAAUACCCGAUAAGAUGAAAAUUUAAAGAGGCUCUCAAGCCUCACUCUUG